GACGAACGCUGGCGGCGUGCUUAACACAUGCAAGUCGAACGGAAAGGCCCUGCUUGCAGGGUGCUCGAGUGGCGAACGGGUGAGUAACACGUGGGUGAUCUGCCCCUUACUUUGGGAUAAGCCUGGGAAACUGGGUCUAAUACUGGAUAGGACCAUGCUGUAGGUGGUGUGGUUGAAAGAUUAGUUUCGGUAAGGGAUGAGCUCGCGGCCUAUCAGCUUGUUGGUGGGGUAAUGGCCUACCAAGGCGUCGACGGGUAGCCGGCCUGAGAGGGUGGACGGCCAGAUUGGGACUGAGAUACGGCCCAGACUACUACGGGAGGCAGCAGUGGGGAAUAUUGCACAAUGGGCGCAAGCCUGAUGCAGCGACGCCGCGUGGGGGAUGACGGCCGUCGGGUUGUAAACUCCUUUCAGCCCUGACGAAGCCCUUGUGGUGACGGUAGUGGUAGAAGAAGCAACGGCUAACUACGUG
rnacentral:rRNA from 1 species